CGGGUUGUACGACGCCCUCACCCCCGACAUCGGUGCAAUGAUUCGCCUGACCGUGCGCCGACCUGAACAACAUGCCGAGCCGUACUACGGCCUCGCCCUGUUACAUCGCAGAUAAACCGACCCCUGCCUAUAAAAGGGAGCCUUGGCCUCUCAGGAGGGGAUUGGAAGAUUGAUGCACUCUACAGACACUAUUUAUCUCCCUUUUUACACUAUUCGCCCCCUCCCUGACUUGAGCGUCGGAGGGCCGGCGCCGGAAAAUCCGGCCACCGG
rnacentral:lncRNA from 1 species